rnacentral:rRNA from 1 species
AAUGAACGUUGGCGGCAUGGAUUAGGCAUGCAAGUCGGGGGAAUCCCAGCAAUGGGGGAACCGGCGUAAGGGGCAGUAAGGCAUGGGUACCUACCUUGGGGUUCGGGAUAGCCAUCAGAGAUGGUGGGUAAUACCGGAUGACGUCGUGAGACCAAAGAUUUAUCGCCCUUAGAGGGGCCCAUGUGAUAUUAGCUAGUUGGUGGGGUAACGGCCCACCAGGGCGAAGAUGUCUGGCGGGUGUGAGAGCACGACCCGCGCCACUCGCACUGGGACACUGGCGAGACACCUACGGGUGGCUGCAGUCGAGGAUCUUCGGCAAUGAGCGCAAGCUUGACCGAGCGAUGCCGCGCGAGCGAUGAAGGCCUUCGGGUUGUAAAGCUCUUUAGUGGGGGAGAAAAGCCGCAAGGUGUGAUCUAUCCCAAGAAUAAGCACGGGCUAAGUUCGUGCCAGCCGCCGCCGUAA